AGAGUUUGAUCAUGGCUCAGAUUGAACGCUGGCGGCAGGCCUAACACAUGCAAGUCGAACGGUAACAUUUCUAGCUUGCUAGAAGAUGACGAGUGGCGGACGGGUGAGUAAUGCUUGGGAACUUGCCUUUGCGAGGGGGAUAACAGUUGGAAACGACUGCUAAUACCGCAUAAUGUCUUCGGACCAAACGGGGCUUAGGCUCCGGCGCAAAGAGAGGCCCAAGUGAGAUUAGCUAGUUGGUAAGGUAACGGCUUACCAAGGCGACGAUCUCUAGCUGUUCUGAGAGGAAGAUCAGCCACACUGGGACUGAGACACGGCCCAGACUCCUACGGGAGGCAGCAGUGGGGAAUAUUGCACAAUGGGGGAAACCCUGAUGCAGCCAUGCCGCGUGUGUGAAGAAGGCCUUCGGGUUGUAAAGCACUUUCAGUUGUGAGGAAAAGUUAGUAGUUAAUACCUGCUAGCCGUGACGUUAACAACAGAAGAAGCACCGGCUAACUCCGUGCCAGCAGCCGCGGUAAUACGGAGGGUGCGAGCGUUAAUCGGAAUUACUGGGCGUAAAGCGCACGCAGGCGGUUUGUUAAGCUAGAUGUGAAAGCCCCGGGCUCAACCUGGGAUGGUCAUUUAGAACUGGCAGACUAGAGUCUUGGAGAGGGGAGUGGAAUUCCAGGUGUAGCGGUGAAAUGCGUAGAUAUCUGGAGGAACAUCAGUGGCGAAGGCGACUCCCUGGCCAAAGACUGACGCUCAUGUGCGAAAGUGUGGGUAGCGAACAGGAUUAGAUACCCUGGUAGUCCACACCGUAAACGCUGUCUACUAGCUGUGUGUGUCUUUAAGACGUGCGUAGCGAAGCUAACGCGCUAAGUAGACCGCCUGGGGAGUACGGCCGCAAGGUUAAAACUCAAAU
rnacentral:rRNA from 1 species